rnacentral:rRNA from 1 species
AACGAACGCUGGCGGCAUGCCUAACACAUGCGAGUCGAACGAUUGCCUUCGGGUGAUAGUGGCGCACGGGUGCGUAACGCGUGGGAAUCUGCCCUUAGGUUCGGAAUAACAGCUGGAAACGGCUGCUAAUACCGGAUGAUAUCGCGAGAUCAAAGAUUUAUCGCCUGAGGAUGAGCCCGCGUUGGAUUAGGUAGUUGGUGGGGUAAAGGCCUACCAAGCCGACGAUCCAUAGCUGGUCUGAGAGGAUGAUCAGCCACACUGGGACUGAGACACGGCCCAGACUCCUACGGGAGGCAGCAGUGGGGAAUAUUGGACAAUGGGCGAAAGCCGGAUCCAGCAAUGCCGCGUGAGUGAUGAAGGCCUAGGGUUGUAAAGCUCUUUUACCCGGGAAGAUAAUGACUGUACCGGGAGAAUAAGCCCCGGCUAACUCCGUG